CCUGGGGGGGGUGUGGGUGUAAAAAACUGACCGUGCGGCGCCGGUUGGUGGAACCUGGGCGCUGGGGAAGGGAGCGGGGACCCGGCAGCCCCGGGCGCUCCGCAAGUGGUGAGCAAUUUGGCCUGCUGAUAGGAUGUUACCUCUUUUUUCCUGCUGCCACCUUGGAUGACUUGUCCAGAGUCUUUACAAGUUUGUAUGAUUAGGGUCAAGGUGCUGUUUAUUAAAUUGUUGAGGAUUUCACUUCAGAUCUUCAUGGAAAGCCUUCCAGAAUGUCUGGAUGUUCUGGGAUAAGACUCACUGGUAGAGCUGAGGACACAGCUAAUCUAGGGCAUGUCUUCGCUAGGGUUUUAUAACACAUGUAACCCCAGCCCUGAUGCGUGGCCUAAGACUUCUCCCUGUUGCUUGCUUCUUGGAGUGGCUUCUCACCUCAAGGGUAUGGGGCCUGUGAGCUCAUCUGCCAGCCCCAUAGGCAGCUUGGCUGUGGCUCCACCCCCAGCCUCUCUCCCCAGACCCUGGACCUGCUUCUGGCGCUAGACCCUGCCCUCCAGCAGCAGCCCUGGCCUUGGCCCCCUUACCCUGUAUGCGUCACCUCUCCCUGCCACCCCUCCUCAACCAACAGAAAGGGCUACCUUUAUAUGGUUGUGCAAGCAUUGGUGGGUCAUCAAAAAUGCUUCACCAAUGUCAGUGUUGGCUGGUUAGGGAAGAUACGUGAUGCUUGCAUUGUUAAGAACACAAGACUGUUGAAAGUUACAAUCAGAGACUUUCUUGACUGGCAGAUUACUAUUGGCAAUGUUGAAAUGUGAGUAGCGAUACUGGGAGGACCCAACCUACCCCUUGCGCCAUUGGCUCAUGAAGGCAUCCACCUCAACAGCACCCAGGAAAGAUUCAGCUACCAGCUCAGCAUGUGCAGAAUGACAGUUGGGUGCAUAGGCGGCAGGUUUUAAGUUUGAAGAACUCCAAGAACAAUACAAUAAAGAAGUUGAAGAAAGAAAAAAGCUGAGAAAUAUCCAGAUUAAAGUAUGGGGCUAGAGUAUCUCAGCAUUAGAAUCUCAUUUAAUGUGUGACAUGGAGAAAGGUGCAGUUCUUCAAAAUUAGCCAUAUGAUUUUUCAGGGAAAGUGGUAACAUUAAAUGUGCUCAUUGUUCAUACCAUUGAGAUUAAAGUGUAGAUUUAAGAAGAGUAAGCAGGGGGUAUGGUUAAUUUCCUGACAGCAUUUUUGAAAAGUUAGUACUAAUUAGAAUACACAAAAAGGACUUUUUAAACAUAUUGUUUUCAUGUAAAUAAUCACACGACUGAGAAUUUCUCAAUACUUAGUUAUCACGAGGGAUAGAAUUUAUAUGGAAUGUAUAUGUUUUUGCAUUUAAAAUCUGAAAAUGAUCUCUUAUGUUUUCUGUUUUAAAAGCAAAACAAACAAAAAACCUAACCUACUCAACUUGGGCACAGUUGUUUUACCACCUUAAGAAUAUUUAUACUACUUCAACAUGCUUACAUCCUUUUUUUAGGAAACGUGUACUGAAAACCUACAAACAAAAUUAAUGAAAUACGUGUACAAUCACUUUCUAGUAAAUUUAGAAGUUGAUUUACACGAUAAACUCAGUGUAAAUAUCCAGGAAUAUUCCCAUUACUGUUUUUCAGUAGGUGCUUCCUUUGUAGCACUUUUAAAGACUGAUAGCGCUCUGUAGCGAGGCGAAGACUCACCGCUGUGGCACCUCCUGCUGUUCGUCUCUUUCCAGCCUUUGGAGCGCUCUCUGCCGGCGGAUGUCUCGCCAGCCUCAGGCCCCAUGUCCCUCCCAGACCCCGGUGCCCUUUUCCUCAGGGUUCUGCCCCAGCAAUACCCCCACUCUCUCUGGGUCUCCCCUCCCAGGGGAGCUCCCAACCCUCUAAAACCACCUUG